UACAACUUAGACUUUUUUUCUUCUUCCAACAGUGACUUUCUACCAACUCUUCUGAUUUGAUAAAUAUGAAAUAAUUCUGAGAUGGAGUUACAACAAAUGGAGUUACAACUCCAGUCCAGAUCUUUAAACUCAAAGUUCAAUGAUCUUUCUGCUGCACCAUUCUGGCAAUGAUGAUAAAUAUAUGAUGCCAGGGUAAAGCAUUUUCAGAAGGAAAAAUCUGAAUCAGAACCCUCCCUAAGAAAGCUGUUCUUUUUACAAUCAGAGGAAAGGCUUCAAGGAAUGUCUUAUCAACUGGUCACACUUUUUGCAGUUUGCUGUUCAAAUGAGGGUGGGGUUAAGUCAUAAAAGAAAUACUAGCUGGAAAUCCUGGCAGCUGAGCCAGGAAACUAUGCCUGAACAGUGGGAACAGACAAACACAAACCAAGUCAUCCCGUUCAGCAGUCCCUUUGGCAGAGACAGGAUUGCAAAAUGGAACAGGCAUAAUCCAUGAAGCCAAAUCUCCUGUGCUUGAUAUCACAUAAAGGUAACAACAUGUAGAAAGAAGAUCCUAUAAUUCUGUGGUUCACCUUAUGCUGCUUCCGAGAUGGAAAAUAACUUUGAUGGCUUAAUGGAGGAUUGACUGGAGUGGGAAGAGAGACGAGUCAGGCAGAUCCACCAGCAGUCUAUUUCAACAACAAAGGUGGCCGGUCUCAGUUUUCAGGAAGAUCUUCUGGAAUUUUUAGACAAAGAGAGAUCAACAGUGAGCUGUGGGGUCUUGGAAGCAGAAGAACCACUGGCCAUUAGGAGAAGACACACAGUGAGGAAGGAGAAAAGAAUUAGCAUUCUUUUUACAUAGCACCAUGGACUGGAGAGUAAGAUGAGGUUUUUUGAGAUCACACUGAUCCUAGGCAAUAAUUGACUUGAGAAAUCAUGGAAAUCAUGGUAAUGGGGGUGAUCCUGACUUUAUUUGCUAUAAUACUGGUGACUUUCUGUAUCCUCUGCUGGUCCAGCUACAACAAAGCACCAUGGAAUCAGCAUGAAGACAUUACCCCAACGUUUACUUUGUCCACUUUCCAUAGGGAAGAUCUUUUAUUGUAAGACCUACUGGUCAGCAUUCCAAUUCCCAUUCCUCCACCAACCAAAGGAAUUUAUUUUCCUUUACGUGAAGUCUUAUCUAGGGUUAUUCAAAACUCAUCUAUAUCCUUUCUGAUUUUCAUGGAGCAGCCAACUGUCAUAAAGGAGGAGUCCCAGGAACUGAAAAUAUAGUCCCUACUUUGGAGGGAGAAUGUUAGACAUAGAAUUAUUAGACGGACAGUAGGUAGCUUGUGGAAAGUUCUCAGAAUAAUGUUGUUUAAAUGGAUAAAAUAAAAUAUAUAGCAUUGUUACUGUUCUUCAUCCUUCGUUUUUCAAAGAGGACCAGUGACAUGAGGAUGGUGGCUUGACUUGUGUGUGAACUGAUGUAAGUGAGGCAGAGUUGCUUAAGGUCUUUAGCCUCACUUCCUCAAUAGUCGUCAAAGUCCAGCGGCAAGACAAAACUUGAAAUGGCCUGGAAUGCCAUGGAUAACUUGGCAUUUUUAAUGUUUGACCAAGCUCAAAGGACUCCAUAGAAACUCUUUAAGAAGCCCUAAUGAUUACUGGAACAAAUUGUUUUUAUCUGCCCAUUCUGCUGGAAAAGUUUUCAUGUGCUUGGGGUAGGCAUUCUCCUAUAUCACUGCCACAAGAAACCAAUUACAUUGAAAUGAUAUAAUAUAUUGAAUAUAAAGGGCAAAUUUUCCCAUCUAGCUUCACAGGUCAACUGAAAUUUAUUCACAGAACUCUUGGAGGUCUACUGAGCUCAGGUUAAAAAACUCUGAUACAGAUUAUCUCUAACCUUUUAACUGUGUUGUGAAGAGUCUGACUGAAAAGUCAAGGAGGAUUAGUUUGUGUCACCUCCUACAUAAGACAUUUCUUAAUCCUCCCCAUUAUUAGUGCUAUUCUUCCCUUCUCCCAAUAUUUUGCUUUUAUUUUUUCAUUUUCUUACUUAUGUUCCUCCCUAUUGUUUUCUUUUAUUAGCAUUUAAGUCCCUUGAGGCCAAGGACUAUCUAGCAUUUGUAUUUCUAUACUUAGUACCUUCAAUGCCAGGCUAGUUGAAUAUGCUGGUAGAAUGUACGUUUAUUAAGGGUCAGGAUUAUUUUCCUUUUUGUUUUUGUGUAUAUAUAUAUAUAUAUAUAUAUAUAUAUAUAUGUAUAUAUUAUCAACAUUAAAGUUGCCUAAGAUAUCCAUAGAUCCAACAAGGAAAAGAUUAGAUAACUUAGAUGCUCUGCUUAUCAGAGUAGAGUGGGGAGCUCCAUAUCUGUAUUCAUAAGAAAGCUGGGAGAGGCCACAAGGGAAUGUUCCUUUCAGAAAAAGGAAUUACUUCUUGGCCUGGGAUAUUGCUAGGGUCUUGGAGUGUCCAGAGGAAGCCCUAUGUCCCAUGCCAUCUCUCCCCUCUCCAAAUUUUCUAGGGAGAAUGGUGAUGGUCUGUCUUCUGUACCUUCUUCAGAGCUGAUAAGAGACAUAGAGGUGUCCUUGCCUUUCUGAGGAGAGAGGGAGGGCUCUUUAAAAUGUCCUCAGUGAAUGCUUCUUAGCAGCUGGAGACCUGAAGGCUUGGGGAUCUGGAGGACAUGUCCAGGCAACUGGCUCCCCUAACUGGCAAACAGAGCACCAGUGGGGGUCGGGGUCAGUCCCUAAAACUGAAGUGCAGAAGCCAGGGCUGGAGCCGAAACUGAUGCUAAAUCAGCUUCAUGAAGAUGAGUUGCAGAAUUGUCUGUCAUCCUCAAGUAAACAUACUUCUAAAAUAUUCUUUCCCUUCUCUCCUCCCUUGCCACUUUCCUUCUUCUGUCUUCCUCAAAUCACAUCUUUUCCCCCCAUUCUCUCCACUUUGGCACUAGAAACAUCAUUGGCCUUUGGCCUGGGUGCUGGCCUCUCACAUUGCUUCCUAGGCUUCCACCUCUGCUAGACCCCAGUUCCAUCCCAGCCACUCCUGCUGCCACUCUUUAUAUCUAAAUCAUAUACCCAUUUUGACCUUAUCUUCAUAUAGGGUGUGAGAUAUUGGUCUAUACCUAGUUUCUGCCAUAUUGUUUUACAAUUUUCCCAUCUGUUUUUUUUUUUAAACAGUGAAUUCUUAUUCCAAAAGCUGGGGUUUGGGGGUUUAUCAAACACUAGGUUGCUAUGGUCAUUCUCUCCCUGUAUAUGGUAUAUCUAAUCUAUUCCAUCUAUCAUUCUAUUUCUUCACAAGUUCCAGACUGUUUUGAUGAUGACUGCUUAUUAGUACAGUUUGAAAUCUUGUACUACUAGGCCACCUUCCUUCAUAUCCCACCCCCCCCCCUUAUUUCCCUUGAUAUUCUUGGUGUUUUGUUCUUUCAGAUGAAUUUUAUUAUUUUUCUAGUUCUAUAAAAUAAUUAUUUGGUCGUUUGAUUGGUAUUGCCUGAAUUAAUAAAUUAAUUUAGAUUAAAUUGUCAUUUUUAUUAUAUUAGCUCAGGCUAUCCAUGAGCAAUGAAUAAUUUUCCAAUUGUUUAGAUUUGACUUUAUUUGUGUGAAAAGUGUUUUGUAAUUGUGUUUAUAUAAUUCCUGGGUUUGUCUUGGAAAGUAUAUUACUAGGCAUUUUAUAUUGUUUAGAGUUAUUUUAAGUGGAGUUUCUCUAUCUCUUGAUGCUAAGCUUUGUGUUUAUAUAGAAAUGCUGAUGACUUAUUUGAAUUUAUCUUGUAUCCUGCAACUUUUAUUAAAGUUAUUAUUUCACCUA